AGAAUCAACGCUGGCGGCGUGCCUCAGACAUGCAAGUCGAACGAUUAAAGCUCUCUUCGGAGAGUGUAUAGAGUGGCGCACGGGUGAGUAACACGUAAGUAAUCUACCCUCGAGUGGGGAAUAACGUCCGGAAACGGACGCUAAUACCGCAUAAUGCAGCGGCACCGCAAGGUGACAGUUGUUAAAGAUUUAUCGCUUGAGGAGGAGCUUGCGGCAGAUUAGCUAGUUGGUAAGGUAAUGGCUUACCAAGGCUACGAUCUGUAACCGGUCUAAGAGGACGGUCGGUCACGACUGACACUGAAUAACGGGUCAGACUCCUACGGGAGCAGCAGUCGGGAAUUUUGGGCAAGUGGACGAAGCCUGACCCAGCAACGCCGCGUGAAGGAUAGAAGUUAGUUUCGGUAAUAGUAAACGUUACGAAAAGUAAGUACGGAAAGUAAGUAC
rnacentral:rRNA from 1 species